AUUGAACGCUGGCGGCAGGCCUAACACAUGCAAGUCGAGCGGAUGAAGGGAGCUUGCUCCUGGAUUCAGCGGCGGACGGGUGAGUAAUGCCUAGGAAUCUGCCUGGUAGUGGGGGAUAACGUCCGGAAACGGGCGCUAAUACCGCAUACGUCCUGAGGGAGAAAGUGGGGGAUCUUCGGACCUCACGCUAUCAGAUGAGCCUAGGUCGGAUUAGCUAGUUGGUGGGGUAAAGGCCUACCAAGGCGACGAUCUGUAACUGGUCUGAGAGGAUGAUCAGUCACACUGGGACUGAGACACGGUCCAGACUCCUACGGGAGGCAGCAGUGGGGAAUAUUGGACAAUGGGCGAAAGCCUGAUCCAGCCAUGCCGCGUGUGUGAAGAAGGUCUUCGGAUUGUAAAGCACUUUAAGUUGGGAGGAAGGGCAGUAAGUUAAUACCUUGCUGUUUUGACGUUACCAACAGAAUAAGCACCGGCUAACUUCGUG
rnacentral:rRNA from 1 species